CUCUGUCGCGGCCACGCCUCGCCGCUCCUGCCAGGACCCCCCGACGCCGCGCACCGCGAUGCGAGAAAACAAAAUCAUGAACGGUCGCCUGAGACAGCCCCCUGGCCGAAGGGCGUCAGCUCCCGGAGCCGGGAGCAGCCAGCAGGACGGAGCUGCUGCUUCGCAGGAGGUCAACAAGGCUUCCCUGCAGUGUCAGGGAGUUCUCUGUGCCUGAGCUGGUUCUGUCCCACUGACCCCCGAAAGUGGCAGCACAGUGUGCUGAUGUGGCUUUGUUGAUAUCAGCACUAAAUUCCCACGUGGCAUCUGCUGUGACUACAGGGACAGACAUGUCUGCUUGAGUGACCACAGGCUUGGAGAUGUCAUGUGUCAAGAUGAUCUAGCUGAGGUAACCAGUGACUUGGGUGUUCAAAGAGCUCUUGCUAAUGUCCCUCAUAAAAGCUGAAGUGAACUGCUAUGAAAUAAAUGGGCAUUUAAUCAGUUACUGACUACAGUAAUAAAAAGUGGGAGGAUACCUGUGUGUCCUCCAGAGGGA